GAAAUGCGAUAAGUAAUGUGAAUUGCAGAAUUCAGUGAAUCAUCGAAUCUUUGAACGCACCUUGCGCUCCUUGGUAUUCCUUGGAGCAUGCCUGUUUGAGUAUCAUGCAAUCUUCAAAGUAAAUCUUUUGUUAACUCAAUUGGUUUCUACUUUGGUAUUGGAGGUCUUUGCAGCUUCACACCUGCUCCUCUUUGUUCAUUAGCUGGAUCUCAGUGUUAUGCUUGGUUCCACUCGGCGUGAUAAGUUAUCUAUCGCUGAGGACACUGUAAAAGGUGGCCAAGGUAAAUGCAGAUGAACCGCUUCUAAUAGUCCAUUGACUUGGACAAUACUUUUAUGAUCUGAUCUCAAAUCAGGUAGGACUACCCGCUGAACUUAAGC
rnacentral:misc_RNA from 1 species